CCAGUACUUACUAAGGGAGAGAAUGCCAAAUGAUCCCCUCAAGAAAUAACCAAAUUCAAAAACAAAAACAAAAAUCACAUUGCUGUGCUUAAGGACCCUUUGAUCCGACUGGAACUGAUUGAUUGGAUUCAACAAUGAAAGCUGACAGAAGCACAAAGCUUAUGAAAUGGUGUAGGCUUUUUGUCAGACAGACCUACAGCUUUUAAAGAAUGCCUUAAAUUCAGAAACUACAGCUCACACAGAUCAUCCCUUAAAAAGUGCUCUAGCUGUAAGGAAAAUACGUAGAAGCUUCCCUGCUAUUCAUCUGGAAAACUAAACAUGUAGCAAAACGUAAUGUUUAAUUAAUUGUCGAUUUCCUCUUGCCUGUUGUACUGACACUGAAAGCUGGCCGAAUUUAUAACUUCAUGAUUAAGAUUAGGUGGUGUGAGUGCUUAAUUACAGCAUGCAGAUAGCCCUUCUUAAUACAUACCUCCAUAUUCGGAAGAGUUGGGAGCCACCAGCACAGCCAACGAAGAAGUUCACCGCAAACAGGCUCCAGUUUUUAGGAAUAAUAACUAGAGAGUACCUUGACCAAAUAAGGCCUGUUGAAUGAAAAGGCAAGUCAGGAGACAUUACGUUUUUGUCAUUAAAAUAUUCAGAUAUCCCCUCAGUUUGGGGACGGAAUCAUGGGCUAGUUGAAUGACCAGUCUUAACAACUUCAUGGUGGACAACUGUUUUGCUUAUAAUCAUCUGUUUCUCACUUAGAAGCAUAACAAAUGCCAGCGAGAGAGAUACAGGUAUGUGCUUCAUUUUUCCCCAAUGACAUAACCAGAUCAUAACCAUUGAUCAUAGUCCUAGUAUCAAAUAAAGGUUCUCUGUACUCUACAGCAGUCUAAACCUCAAUACCCUGGCACGGCUGCAGGGUAGUGGCAUUUUGCUGCAGUACAUCCAGUUUGCUGCACCCAUUUGGAGAUCACAGAACAUAUCAUGCAAAGCACAAAGCACUAAGCCAGACAUCAGAAUUAAGUCCGUAGAAGGAAGAAGGUGGCAGCUGUAGUUUUGGUUCUCAGCUUUAGCUGCCACAACUUCUUUUACCAGAUUUUGUCAAGGGCAACACUUGAGUAUGGAAUAUUGAUUUUGGCAGUUUGAAAACUCAUGGCAGACAGCAGUGCAGUGGUCUAUAUACCACUGCUUCCAAGCUCUUGUAGCACGUGGAAAUUCUUUCCAUCUAGCAUUGCUUAAUCCCUUCAAAUCCAUUCUAAAAAAGCCACCAUAUUCUGGACUGAUUUCAAAAUUUCUUAACCUGAACGAAGCAGAAGAGUUUUAUUUCCUGGAAUGAAGGGUAACAAUUUGUAACUGGAGGGACCAAAUUCAUAUCCUAACUCAAAACAAUUUGCUCUGGACAAUUCCAAAUAAAGACACUUGUAUAAAACUAUUACGUAACCGCAGAACUCUCAUAGAUUGAAUACCAAACAUAAGCGUGUCCUAGAAUUACCACGUAACAGUGACAGUGAGAGCUAGCAUACUGAGCCUUUUCUAUGUAAGUGACUUAGUGCUGACAGAAUACAGUAAAGAAGUGGAUACAGUUGUAGAGAGAGUGUACAGGUACAGAGUACCACUGGCUUUACCUGUGGCCAUUAACACUGCAGACUGUGCUGUGCUGAGCUUUUCUGCCGGUCUGGUCAUAUCAGCCAUUCCAGCGCAUACCAAACCCCAUUUCAUAAUAGGUGCCCAGAAGAAGACUGUCUUGGGACCGGCCGGGUGGUUGUAGAAGGGCCGGAACCGCGGCGGCAGCAUCAGCUCGAUGCGGUCGAGCAGGCGGUGGUAGGAGGCGCGCAGCCCCGUGACGGCGGCCGCCAUGUCGGCACAGCGAGAAGCUCCUCGGCGACCGGCGUGUCGGCGUACCGCUCGGUCGCACUGCCGGCGGCUCCGUUCCCCCCGCGACCCGCCGUCCUUCCGCCGCGCCCCGCCCCCGCCACCCUCGCGCCGGA
rnacentral:lncRNA from 1 species